rnacentral:rRNA from 1 species
UACGAAGGGGGCUAGCGUUGCUCGGAAUCACUGGGCGUAAAGCGCACGUAGGCGGAUUUCUAAGUCAGGGGUGAAAUCCUGGAGCUCAACUCCAGAACUGCCUUUGAUACUGGGAAUCUCGAGUCCGGGAGAGGUGAGUGGAACUGCGAGUGUAGAGGUGAAAUUCGUAGAUAUUCGCAAGAACACCAGUGGCGAAGGCGGCUCACUGGCCCGGUACUGACGCUGAGGUGCGAAAGCGUGGGGAGCAACAGG